UACGGGGGGGGCAAGCGUUGUUCGGAAUUACUGGGCGUAAAGGGUUUGUAGGUGGCUGAUUAGGUCAGACGUGAAAUCCCUCAGCUUAACUGGGGAACUGCGUCUGAUACUGGUUAGCUUGAGUGCAGGAGAGGAACGCGGAAUUCCAGGUGUAGCGGUGAAAUGCGUAGAUAUCUGGAGGAACACCGGUGGCGAAGGCGGCGUUCUGGACUGCAACUGACACUGAAAAACGAAAGCCAGGGGAGCAAACGGG
rnacentral:rRNA from 1 species